GAAUAAGAAAUAAAAGUAACAAGUAAUUAAAGAGCAGAAAUAAAAUAACAAUAGAGACUAUAUACAGGGUAUUACAGUACAGAGUCAAUGUGGAGGCCAUAUACAGGGUAUUACAGUACAGAGUCAAUGUGGAGGCCAUAUCUUGGGGGUACCGGUACAGAGUCAAUGUGGAGGCUAUAUACAGGGGGUACCGGUACAGAGUCAGUGUGGAGGCUAUAUACAGGGUAUUACGGUACAGAGUCAAUGUGGAGGCUGUAUACAGGGUAUUACGGUACAGAGUCAAUGUGGAGGCUAUAUACAGGGUAUUACGGUACAGAGUCAAUGUGGAGGCUAUAUACAGGGGGGUACUGGUACAGAGUCAAUGUGGAGGCUAUAUACAGGGGGUACCGGUACAGAGUCAAUGUGGAGGCUAUAUACAGGGUAUUACGGUACAGAGUCAAUGUGGAGGCUAUAUACAGGGGGGUACCAGUACAGAGUCAAUGUGGAGGCUAUAUACAGGGGGUACCGGUACAGAGUCAAUGUGGAGGCUAUAUACAGGGGGGUACCGGUACAGAGUCAAUGUGGAG
rnacentral:lncRNA from 1 species